UACGUAGGGGGCAAGCGUUGUCCGGAAUCACUGGGCGUAAAGCGCGCGCAGGCGGUCUUUCACGUCCGGGGUGAAAGCCCAGAGCUCAACUCUGGGAUUGCCUUGGAUACGGGGAGACUUGAGGAUCGGAGAGGCAAGGGGAAUUCCACGUGUAGCGGUGAAAUGCGUAGAGAUGUGGAGGAACACCUGUGGCGAAGGCGGUCUGCUGGGCAGUUGCUGACACUGGAGGCGCGACAGCGUGGGGAGCAAACAGG
rnacentral:rRNA from 1 species